CAGGAGUCUUGAAGUUGUCGAGGAAUUGAAGAGUAGCUCUCUUAGCAAUCUCAAAACCAUCAACUAAGACACGUGGAUGCAUUUGAUAGGUAUAAACAUACUUAUUCGAGAAGAAGGUGGAAAGGAGCUGAGCUGGCAAGUGAGAAGGGAGCUGAGGAGCUUAAGUGACACGUGGAAAUCAUCAGAAGAAAGAUGGAUGAGUAUAAAUAGAUUUGUAGAGUGGCAGUUAGAGAGGAUCGAUCAUUUUACAAUAAUAUUGAUCUAAGCGUAUGAGCUUGAUCCUUACUCGUAUGAGAGUGAGAGAUUCGAUCGUAUGAGAUCGUCUCUAUUGUUGUAAUUUGAUUGAGCAAACCUUUAUAAGAAGUAUUCAGUUGAGUAUAGA